UACAGAGGUCUCAAGCGUUGUUCGGAUUCAUUGGGCGUAAAGGGUGCGUAGGCGGCGAGGUAAGUCAGAUGUGAAAUCCCGGGGCUUAACCCCGGAACUGCAUUUGAUACUGCUUUGCUUGAGGACUGGAGAGGAGAUCGGAAUUCACGGUGUAGCAGUGAAAUGCGUAGAUAUCGUGAGGAACACCAGUGGCGAAGGCGGCCUUCUGGACCAGUACUGACGCUCAUGCACGAAAGCGUGGGGAGCAAACAGG
rnacentral:rRNA from 1 species